AGGAGCCCCAGGAUUCAAGAGGUCAUGCAGAGAAGCUGAGGCUUGGCACCUCGAAGAGAGCCUGUUGGUGAAAGUGUCGCCCAGCUUUCGCAGAAGAUUCCAGCAUUUCGGAGAUUCCAGUACCACGUGUGGGAUGACCACCAAGAACAGCAGUCGCUGCCACUAGAAGACAAGCUGUGUUGCAGUGAGCAGAGCCAGAGGAGGGUCUCAAGCCUCUUGGAUGAGCCCAGAUUGCAUCUUGCAGGGCCACUUCGCUUCCACACGUCUGGGAAGAACGGAGAGGAAGGAUGUUGUCAGGGCUUAAGGCUGAGCUGGAGUUCCUAGCGUCUACCUUCCACAAGGACCACGAGCAGCUGCGCAUCGUGAGCUGGCACCUGGAUGAGCUACAGUGUCAGUUCCUGGUGCCGGAGGCACCUGCGGGCAGCCCGCCCUCGCCACCGCUGCUCACCUUGCACUGCACCAUCCCCGAGUCCUACCCAUCUUCACCGGUGAUGUGGUUCGUGGACUCUGACGAUCCAGAUCUCACAUCGAUCCUGGAACGCCUAGAAGAUUCAAAGCCUGACAGUUCGCUUAGUCAGCAACUCAAGUGGCUGAUCUGUGAAUUCUGCAGCUUAUAUAACCUGCCUGAGCACCUGGAUGUGGAGAUGCUGGACCAGCCGGUCCCUGUCGCUCAGAAGGCCACCAUCAAAGAGGUGCCUUCAGAAGACGAAGAUGCAGCUUACGGACUGGAAGACUUGGAUCAUUAUGAGCUGAAAGAAGAAGAGACCAGUAGUGAGAAAACGUCAGAGAAUGAAGGGCUUGAGAAAGAGGAUUUGGUCAUAUUAGAGAGUAUCCAGAAAAACCUAUGGCAAGAGCAUUCGAGCGGUGCCAUGUCUGGCUCAGUGCGUGCUUCGAAUAGACUUAUGAAGGAACUCAGAGAGAUAUACAGAUCACAGAGUUACAAAUCGGGGACUUAUUCCGUGGAACUGAUAAACGACAGCUUGUAUGACUGGCACGUUAAACUGAGGAAGGUUGACCCUGAUAGUGCCUUGUACGGUGACCUUCAGCGCUUGAAAGAAAAAGAAGGCAUAGACUAUAUUUUGCUUAACUUCUCUUUCAAAGAUAACUUUCCGUUUGACCCUCCAUUUGUUCGCGUCGAGUUGCCUGUACUCUCUGACGGUUAUGUCUUGGAAGGGGGAGCGUUGUGCAUGGAACUGCUCACCAGACAGGGCUGGAGCAGCGCCUACUCCAUAGAAUCGGUCAUCUUGCAGAUCAAUGCCACCUUAGUCAAAGGCAAUGCUAGGGUGUGCUUUGGAGUAAAAAAGAAUCAAUAUAAUGAACAAAUGGCCAGACUGGUCUAUAACUCCGUGGUGCUGAAGCAUGAGAAGUCAGGCUGGUUCACUCCUCCGCAGAAAGAUGGGUAAAUGGUAGACUGCCAUGUAUUUGGUAUUUGUAACAGUAGUGAGAAAGUUAUUAGCUAAUUGGUGUUUUAGUGGAUAAUCUCUCAACUGACCACCAGUAGAAGUUCCAACCUUUUCAUUUUGCUUACUGUGAGGGUCUUGGGUUGAACUGUGAGCCUUAAUGUGGUUUUUCUUGAUAAAUCAUCCUAACUCCAUUUUCAGUCAUCUAUGUUCCUUGAUUAAGUGAAAUGUGUUAAGUAGGCCAGUCAGUUGUGACUUUAGAUAAUGCUAGUUUAUUAGGCUAUGGGGGUGGUGGGGGUGGUGAAGGGAGGGGAUAAUGAGUUUUUACAAACAUUUGUUCCAUUUAGUGCUAAUAAAAGUUUUACCAGUGUCCAAUACUGUCUUAGAAAAAAUAAAAAAAUAA